rnacentral:rRNA from 1 species
GACGAACCGUGCGAACGUUAUUCGGAAUCACUGGGCUUAAAGCGCGUGUAGGUGGGCGGCACGUCGGUCGCUGAAAUCCCCCGCUUAACCGGGGAACGGGCGCCGAUACGACCGCCCUUGAGGGGCGUAGGGGGGGCUGGGAACUUCCGGUGGAGCGGUGAAAUGCGUUGAGAUCGGAAGGAACGCCCGUGGCGAAAGCGAGCCCCUGGACGUCUCGUGACACUGAGACGCGAAAGCCAGGGGAGCGAACGGG